GACGUAGGGUGCAAGCGUUAUCCGGAUUUACUGGGCGUAAAGAGCGCGUAGGCGGCUCGUUAAGUGUGAAGUGAAAUCUUCGGGCUCAACCCGGAAACUGCUUCGCAUACUGGCGAGCUUGAGGGGCACAGAGGCAACUGGAAUUCCUGGUGAAGCGGUGAAAUGCGUAGAUAUCAGGAGGAACUCCCAUGGCGAAGGCAGGUUGCUGGGUGCCAUCUGACGCUGAGGCGCGAAAGCUAGGGGAGCAAACGGG
rnacentral:rRNA from 1 species